UGAAGUGUAGCUUAGUGGUAAAGCACCUGUCUACAUUGUGCAAGGCCCUGGGUUCAAGUCCAAGCACCACAA
rnacentral:tRNA from 1 species